GACGAACGCUGGCGGCGCGCUUAACACAUGCAAGUCGAGCGAUGAAAUUUCGACAGAUCCCUUCGGGGUGAAGAUGAAAUGGAUUAGCGGCGGACGGGUGAGUAACACGUGAGUAACCUGCCUUUGACAUUGGGAUAGCCUCGGGAAACUGGGAUUAAUACCAAAUGACACUAACUGAUCACAUGAUCAAUUAGUCAAAGAAAUUCGGUCAAAGAUAGACUCGCGGCUGAUUAGCUAGUUGGUGAGGUAACGGCCCACCAAGGCGACGAUCAGUAGCCGGCCUGAGAGGGUGAUCGGCCACAUUGGAACUGAGACACGGUCCAAACUCCUACGGGAGGCAGCAGUGGGGAAUAUUGCACAAUGGGGGAAACCCUGAUGCAGCGACGCCGCGUGAGCGAAGAAGGCCUUCGGGUCGUAAAGCUCUUUUAUGAGGGAAGAUAAUGACGGUACCUCAAGAAAAAGCCCCGGCUAACUACGUG
rnacentral:rRNA from 1 species